CCCUAAUUUUCAUUCUUAACCCAUCGACCUCCUCCUCCCCAAAUUCGCUCCUCCUCCUCUUCACCAUCACAAUCCUUCCUCCUCCAUUCUCCGGCGGAAUCUAAAGCUCCGAGAGAGCCGAAGAAACCUAGACCCCAACAAAGUUGAAGAAAUUGAUGAAGCUCUGAAUCCUUUCGACGACAAACUCGAGCUCCCUCUCCACCUUUCGCCGCCUCCGACGGAGAUCAACCAGCUUAUGUUCGCUGCUUCCAGCUUUGUCGGUUAACCUAACACAACCACGAUGAUGACGGCUCAGUUGCACCCUGAAUCGACGUUGUCGGCUCUGAAAUUUCCUGACUUUCGAUUCCGAUUCACACUAGUCAAGACUAGAAAGAAGAAGCGGUAGUGAUGAGUUCGGCGGUGCUGAAGGAGAGAAGAAGGCCAAAUGCUCUGACUGUGUCCCUUAAUUCGAAGAUUUACAGAGUCAGCGAUAGGCUCUUCCUCUGCCUCUCCGGCCUCACCACCGAUGCUCAGACUCUGUUUCAGAGGCUUAUGUAUAAACACAAGCUUUACCAGCAGAGGGAAGAGAGGCAUUUUUGAUGGGUGUUCUGUAUAUGCUUGAGCAAUGUGAUUUAGGUCACCUGAUGGAAAAGAUUGAAUGCUGACAGAACUCGGAAUCAAAGAUGGGGCACAACUGAAGCGCCAUUUGAUCCCCAAAUCUAGAGUGAAAUCUAAGAGAAGCAAAACGAAAAGCGAAAGCAAAACCAGAGAGAGGUAAAGGUCUUUUGAGCUUCUUAGUUUAAGCAAUUGAGAGUUAUCUUUUUGCGUUUAUAGUUCUCUGAAACCAUUUGGCCUUAGUUCUGAAUGUUCACCUUUUAUUUUCCUAUAUGUUCCCCGGAAUGAAUGUGGGGAGUUGGAACGUUUGGAGAAGCUAGUGAAUAGUAUGAGAGGGGAAGCUCGGUAUAUAUUGGUGA